UUUCGUCUUUACCAAUGAAGUGCAAGACUUUGGAAUGAACAACAAGUAUUUGGGUAGAAUGAUAACUCAAAGUGAAGACUCAAAGUGAAAUAGUCAAUUGGAGGAGCCUGCCUGAGAGACUAGAGUAUAAAACCUGUUUUAAUAUGGAAAAACAAAAAUGCAGAGACCACAUUGAAAAGCAGUGAAUGGGAAAGGGAAAGGAAGAGAACAAGAGAAGGAAGUAGGCUUUCAAGGACUCCUUCAUAGUAAUAAAUCUAAAUCACUUGGACCUCUUUCUUUUUCAGUGACUUUUAUUUCUGCCUGUAGAAAUUGUUAUAUGUAGGUAGCAGUUUAGAAUGAGGAAUACUAUUAUGUUUCCUAUUUUUAAAGAUUUGUAUUGAUUAAAUUGAACUUUCAUAAUAAUUGAUAAGGUGA
rnacentral:lncRNA from 1 species